rnacentral:rRNA from 1 species
AUUGAACGCUGGCGGCAGGCCUAACACAUGCAAGUCGAGCGGAUGAAGGGAGCUUGCUCCUGGAUUCAGCGGCGGACGGGUGAGUAAUGCCUAGGAAUCUGCCUGGUAGUGGGGGAUAACGUCCGGAAACGGGCGCUAAUACCGCAUACGUCCUGCGGGAGAAAGUGGGGGAUCUUCGGACCUCACGCUAUCAGAUGAGCCUAGGUCGGAUUAGCUAGUUGGUGGGGUAAAGGCCUACCAAGGCGACGAUCCGUAACUGGUCUGAGAGGAUGAUCAGUCACACUGGAACUGAGACACGGUCCAGACUCCUACGGGAGGCAGCAGUGGGGAAUAUUGGACAAUGGGCGAAAGCCUGAUCCAGCCAUGCCGCGUGUGUGAAGAAGGUCUUCGGAUUGUAAAGCACUUUAAGUUGGGAGGAAGGGCAGUAUGUUAAUACCUUGCUGUUUUGACGUUACCAACAGAAUAAGCACCGGCUAACUUCGUG